GAUAAAGUGGCUGAGAGUUAGGUGAUAGACUGUAAAUCUAUUAACGAGGUGUUUGCCUCCUUUAUCA
rnacentral:tRNA from 1 species